rnacentral:rRNA from 1 species
GACGAACGCUGGCGGCGUGCUUAACACAUGCAAGUCGAACGGUGAAGCGCCUUCCUUUUUGGUGGGUGUGGAUGAGUGGCGAACGGGUGAGUAACACGUGAGUAACCUGCCCCCUUCUUCUGGAUAACCGCAUGAAAGUGUGGCUAAUACGGGAUAUUCUGGGUCUGUCGCAUGAUGGGUCUGGGAAAGAUAUUGUUUCGGUGGGGGAUGGGCUCGCGGCCUAUCAGCUUGUUGGUGGGGUGAUGGCCUACCAAGGCGGUGACGGGUAGCCGGCCUGAGAGGGUGGACGUCCAAGCUGGGCUGAGACACGGCCCAGACUCCUACGGGAGGCAGCAGUGGGGAAUAUUGCACAGUGGGCGCAAGCCUGAUGCAGCGACGCCGCGUGAGGGAUGGAGGCCUUCGGGUUGUGAACCUCUUUCGCCAGUGAAGCAGGCCUGCCUCGUUUGUGGGUGGGUUGACGGUAGCUGGAUAAGAAGCGCCGGCUAACUACGUG